rnacentral:rRNA from 1 species
UACAGAGGGUGCGAGCGUUAAUCGGAAUUACUGGGCGUAAAGCGCGCGUAGGCGGCUUUGCAAGUCGGGUGUGAAAUCCCCAGGCUUAACCUGGGAACUGCAUUCGAGACUGCAUUGCUAGAGUAUGGGAGAGGGAAGUGGAAUUUCCGGUGUAGCGGUGAAAUGCGCAGAUAUCAGGAGGAACACCUAUUGCGAAGGCAGCUCGCUGGGACGUAACUGACGCUGAGGAGCGAAAGCGUGGGGAGCGAACAGG